AGACGUCUACAUUAGAUACCCCUGUAGUCCCAGCCGUAAACUAUGCGCGUUAGGUGUAUCGGUGGCCACGAGUCACCGAGGUGCCGAAGGGAAACCGUGAAACGUGCCGCCUGGGAAGUACGGUCGCAAGGCUGAAACUUAAAGGAAUUGGCGGGGAGCACCACAACGGGUGGAGCCUGCGGUUUAAUUGGACUCAACGCCGGGAAGCUCACCGGAUAAGACAGCGGAAUGAUUGCCGGGCUGAAGACUCUGCAUGACUAGCUG
rnacentral:rRNA from 1 species